rnacentral:rRNA from 1 species
CCACAUUGGGACUGAGAUACGGCCCAGACUCCUACGGGAGGCAGCAGUGGGGAAUUUUGCGCAAUGGGGGCAACCCUGACGCAGCAACGCCGCGUGCGGGACGACGGCCUUCGGGUUGUAAACCGCUUUCAGCAGGGAAGAACCUAUGACGGUACCUGCAGAAGAAGCCCCGGCUAACUACGUGCCAGCAGCCGCGGUAAUACGUAGGGGGCGAGCGUUAUCCGGAUUCAUUGGGCGUAAAGCGCGCGUAGGCGGCCCGGCAGGCCGGGGGUCGAAGCGGGGGGCUCAACCCCCCGAAGCCCCCGGAACCUCCGCGGCUUGGGUCCGGUAGGGGAGGGUGGAACACCCGGUGUAGCGGUGGAAUGCGCAGAUAUCGGGUGGAACACCGGUGGCGAAGGCGGCCCUCUGGGCCGAGACCGACGCUGAGGCGCGAAAGCUGGGGGAGCGAACAGGAUUAGAUACCCUGGUAGUCCCAGCCGUAAACGAUGGACGCUAGGUGUGGGGGGACGAUCCCCCCGUGCCGCAGCCAACGCAUUAAGCGUCCCGCCUGGGGAGUACGGCCGCAAGGCUAAAACUCAAAGGAAUUGACGGGGGCCCGCACAAGCAGCGGAGCAUGUGGCUUAAUUCGAAGCAACGCGAAGAACCUUACCAGGGCUUGACAUAUGGGUGAAGCGGGGGAGACCCCGUGGCCGAGAGGAGCCCAUACAGGUGGUGCAUGGCUGUCGUCAGCUCGUGUCGUGAGAUGUUGGGUUAAGUCCCGCAACGAGCGCAACCCCCGCCGCGUGUUGCCAUCGGGUGAUGCCGGGAACCCACGCGGGACCGCCGCCGUCAAGGCGGAGGAGGGCGGGGACGACGUCAAGUCAUCAUGCCCCUUAUGCCCUGGGCUGCACACGUGCUACAAUGGCCGGUACAGAGGGAUGCCACCCCGCGAGGGGGAGCGGAUCCCGGAAAGCCGGCCCCAGUUCGGAUUGGGGGCUGCAACCCGCCCCCAUGAAGUCGGAGUUGCUAGUAAUCGCGGAUCAGCAUGCCGCGGUGAAUGCGUUCCCGGGCCUUGUACACACCGCCCGUCACACCACCCGAGUCGUCUGCACCCGAAGUCGCCGGCCCAACCGCAAGGGGGGAGGCGCCGAAGGUGUGGAGGGUGAGGGGGGUGAAGUCGUAACAAGGUAGCCGUACCGGAAGGUGCGGCUG